GACGAACGCUGGCGGCGUGCUUAACACAUGCAAGUCGAACGGAAAGGCCCUGCUUUUGUGGGGUGCUCGAGUGGCGAACGGGUGAGUAACACGUGAGUAACCUGCCCUUGACUUUGGGAUAACUUCAGGAAACUGGGGCUAAUACCGGAUAGGAGCUCCUGCUGCAUGGUGGGGGUUGGAAAGUUUCGGCGGUUGGGGAUGGACUCGCGGCUUAUCAGCUUGUUGGUGGGGUAGUGGCUUACCAAGGCUUUGACGGGUAGCCGGCCUGAGAGGGUGACCGGCCACAUUGGGACUGAGAUACGGCCGAGACUCCUACGGGAGGCAGCAGUGGGGAAUAUUGCACAAUGGGCGGAAGCCUGAUGCAGCAACGCCGCGUGCGGGAUGACGGCCUUCGGGUUGUAACCCGCUUCCGCCUGUGACGAAGCGUGAGUGACGGUAAUGGGUAAAGAAGCACCGGCUAACUACGUG
rnacentral:rRNA from 1 species